UUAUGUUUCUUUUGCAAACCCUAGAUCUGAUUCUUCGUUCUCCUUCUCUUAAACUCUACCGCUCCAUAACCGUAACUCUCAAUUCGCCAUGGAGGAUGCCUAUCUGACCAGUGUAUGUUGACCCGCUAUAUUUUGACUCAUCUACGUUAUUUUCCAAAACCCUAGACAGCCUUCCUUUCCAUUCUGUUUCAUCUCCAUUCUGGUUCACGCAUAUGCAUUCGAACGAUUCAAGCAUCAGGUAUGUUUAAACAUAAUCUCGCGUCAUCUCUGCCUCUUGAUUAUAUAUUUCGACGAAAACCCUAACCAGAGCCACUAUCACGCGACUGACAAAGAACUUGAACACUACGACUUUCAUGGGUGGUGAUUUCCAUGGGUUUUGGUUACAUUUGGUAAUGAAUGAAGAAAAAGAGGAAUCAUUGUCCUUCCGGCUACUCAAUUGGAUGAAGUUGUUCACGCUUCUCUAAGGUCACAUCUAAGAAAGAGGAUGCAACGAGGUUGGCUCAGAUGUAGAAUAAAAUAAUUACAAUUUUAUGGGAUAAAGGGAAAUAAACCUAUGACUCAUUCCAUGCUCAUCGGAUCCAUAGUGGCGCUACAUGUACUGACGCCGAAGACAACAACGUUAACUACAGUGGCGCAACAUGUCCGCCUGUUUCGUAUUUGUUCAGCAACCCAGCAUCCCCCAGAAAGCAUCUAAACGCCGUCACACACAGUUGCCUUUAAAGAAGGGGAUACCGUGUUGGUGGCAGUAGAUUGAUAUGUUGUUGUGGUGAUGAUAAAGAUGAAAAGUGUUGAGUGUUUACUAAAUCUCCCGAGACUUUGCUCAAUGAUUGUAGACUAACGCCAUCAUCUUAAAAAUAAAUGUUCAAAACUGUUUUCUUCAUUGAAGCAGUUUAUGGUUUGCAAAGAAUAGAAACCUUAGAAGUCUAUGUGUGGAGAUAGGUAUGCCUAUGCUUAAGCCAGUUAUUGUUUUUGAAGUCAGGACCCUAAGAGAUUCCAUAGGGUGCAGUUGGAGCUGAGUUUGUAAUAGUUUCUGGUGAUUAAUGGUAGAUUUGGCAUUGUUGGAGCUACCGAGGUAUUGUGGGAGGUCGAAAGAGCUUGGGAAGUCUUAAAAAUCAAGGGUUUUUGCGAGUGUUUUGAAAAGAAAAAAAAGAUAAUUGGUACAGACCCCUUCUAUCGGACCUUCAUGUGGAUGAUUUUGUCCAGGAGCGGCUUCAACUUAAAAAUGCGAAAUUAUACAACCUGGCAGAAAUAAAUCCUUUGGUAGGUAUUUGAUACUUCAUAUUAUAGGUGUAAUACUCUAUGGCAGGUAAUUAAAUGUUGUUUUAUGGUAUGCAAAAGACUAACGCGAAUAACCCCGCCGCAACAUAAUUCUAAUUUGUAGCAACAUAAAAAACUCACUACUUCUUACUACGAUUUUUAUAGAUGUUGAAGGCCUCACCAUGAUAACAACUCAAAUGUCCGCUACCGGACUCCACAAAUGCGUUUCUUUUUCUCAACGCAAUGGAUUCCCUGAAUGCAUAGCUUUUUUUGUAAUGCAAAGCUAGCAGGCUAUUAUAAGAAAUUAUAUGUAAAUAGUGUGAAACACCACGCUUCUAAAACGCUAUGUAGGUUAAUCUCCGAUGCUCUAUUAUCUAUUUCUAUUAUGUAUAACAAAUGAAAAUAAGGCUAGACAUGUGGCGUAUUUUUAAGGCAUCUCCAUUGUGAUUUUGGCACACUUUUUUUAUAUUUGUUUUAAACAGAGGGUUAUGAUUAGUGUUUUUAAAAGAACAUUAUCUGAUGUAUCACAAAGGCUGUUAUCACUUUAUGAGAACAUAAGAAGAAGAUUAUGUGAGCCUCUGAUACAAAAAUAAUCAUGAAAAAACUACAGAAACAAAGGAGACUUUUCUAACCUCCUGGGGAAUAACUUAAGACGCGAACAAGGAGAUUUUUGAAUCUGAUGAGAUUAAGGUUGUUUCUGAAUUUGCAUCAAGGAAUCCUUUGGAGUUUUUAACUAUUGAUAUAAGAUUGUUUUAUGCCGCAUAUGGUGGUUCACUUGAAGCUAAUUUCGAGGAUGAUAGGAUGGUUAGAUAUUGUAAACUUAAGAAAAGUUUGUUUGGCUUUCUAUUUCAGACUGUUUGUUUAUUGUUUUGUGGAUAUACUCACCUUUUUGAUGAUUCUUUUAAUGUAGCUAUGAAGCAACUUGGGGAAGAGUCACUUCCUCCCAUUUAUUUGAUAUUUGAUUGUGUAAGAUUUCGAUUUACCAUUCCUUUGGUCAUCGAUUAAGGUCUCUAAUGGCGGUUUUUUGUGGGUUAGUUGAUUUCAUAGUGAAAAUCAUUUGGAAUGCCUAUUUGAAGUAUAUGAAUAUGUCACAACUCAAGUAAACAUAGCAAUUGAGGUAUUAUCAUACUUAUUCUGUAAUGUGAUUUACUAUUCUAGGAGGUACAGUUUCAUUUUUGUGAAUAAGAUUAUCUAAAAAUUUGAUGUAUACAACUUUUAGGUAAAUAUAUAAAGUCAAUCAUUUCUAUUAUCAGUAGUAAAUGAAUAAAAACCAACUAAUGCUUUUGAACGGCUAAGUUGUUUGGCUUGCUCACAGCACAUGCAAAAUUAUAAGGAGUUAGCUAGGGAUGAGCAUUUGGUACCGGGUACCGGUGCCGUACCAUACCGGUUAUUUUUGAUACCGGUACCCAUUUUUCUAUUUUUUGAUACCGGUAUUUUGGUUGAUUUACCGGUAAAUUCCGGUACCGUACCAGUUAUAUUCGGUACUGGUACCCAUUUUACAAUACUUAUACCUGGAGUUGGCUCACAAGAAAGAGCAAUUGUGCACCCACACCCAUUCCUGUUGUAAUUGAAAACAAUAACAAGAAAAUUAUAAUCAGUCUUUAAAAAGAAGUCAAAUGGAUCAAAACUCUUAAAGGAGAUUUUGAUGACUAUUGUGCUAAUCAUAUAUUCAUGUAUGCUGAUCAUGAAUUUUUGGUUAUGUCUUCAUAGGACUAGUGGCGGACCCAGGAAUUAUUUGCCAGGGGUGCGGAUGAGUGGUUCAAUCAUAUUUUCAGGGGGUGCGGUCAAGUUUUUUGCCUAAAAAAUACACUAAAUUUGUUUUUUCAAGGGGUGCGCCCGCCCACCCUGGGCUUAAUGUAGGUCCGCCCAUGAUAGGACGUUGACUACUCCGGUUCAACUGAUCAAGUGUUUAAAGUCUAUAAAGAAUCAUGUUUUUAUAGCUUCUGAGUACCCUGUUGUGAUUACUCUUAAAGACCACCUUAUUACUGAUCUUCAGUCUAAAGCGGCGCUUCGCCCGAUUGUACUUCCUGCUAUUUACUUUGUGGGACCAAAGUUGUCAAAGGAAAAUGUCGAAAGCUUUGAGUAUCAUUAUCUAUAUGAGCUAAGGAGCAUUCAGGAUCGGCUUCGGAAUGAGAUCCAUAGCUUCAAGAGAGAAUUUAAAGAAGGAAAACUAACUAUUGUAGAAUUGCAUUUGAGUAAUAUAGAGACCGAGAAUGUGGAAGAAGAGGUUGUAAAGGAGAUGAUGACGAAGAUAAAGAACAACAGGAGCCGGAGAGUGGGUGUGUUGAAUGACCAGUCACAAAAUAGGUUCGGGUCGACAUUUAACCUAAUGAACACUAAAUCAUCUCCUCAACACCUCGUUAUUGGAAGAAGCUCUUACCGAAAUUAUCGGCUUGAAAACUGCUAGGUAAAUCUGGGCUGCAUUAGAAUCAGCCUUUAGCAACCAAUCUGUUGAAUGGAUUCACAAUCUCCGUGACCAACUUCGAUCAUCCCAUAAAGGCAACUCUAUUGUCACCGAAUUUGCUCACAAAUUCAAGGCAUUUUGUGAUCAGUUAGUUGCUGUUGGUCAUCCGGUUGACGACCUGGACAAACUUCAUUGGUUCCUAUGUGGUCUUGGAACCUCAUUUGAAAACUUCUCUACAACAAUCUGAACCACUCGACCGGCUCCAUCCUUUUGCGAGUUGGUUUCUCAAGCCGAAAGCCAUGAACUUUUUCUACAAUCUCUCCAUGGCACCAACACUUCUACCGUUGCAUUCUCCGCUGAGAAAUCCCGCCCACCCUCCUUUUCCCGGGGACGUGGUCGGUCCAACCGGUUUUCCGGUGGACGUGGCCGUGGUCGUCGCACUCCUCAUUGCCAACUUUGUAGGAAGGAUGGCCAUUAUGGUAACACUUGUCCAUCACUAUCCUCCUAUGCUACACAAGUUCAUUCCACGGAUGCUUAAAUUGCUCAAGCCUUUGCGGCUCAAUGUAACGUCACCGCUUCUACACCGGAUUGGUGUGUGGACAUUGGUGCUACUGAUCAUAUGACUGGCUCCUCAGAAUCCAUCUCCAAUAUCACUCCAAACCUCGGACCGCAUUACCAGACAGGUCAUAGCCCAAGGAAGAUGUGAUAAUGGGCUUUAUGUGUUGAAUAAUGGACAACAAGCUUUUGUUGCCAAGUCCAGUCUCAAAGCCUCAUAUGAACUUUGGCAUUCCCGUUUGGGUCAUGUUUCUUUUGAUACUAUUAUGUCUUUGAAAAACUUGGGACUUUUGUCGGUCACUUCUAUUUUACCUAAACCAGGUACUUGUCAAUCUUGUCACCUAUCUAAGGGACAAAGAUUGCCUUUUGAAUUAAAUACUAAACGUGCCAUUUACCC